GAAUAUUGGACAAUGGGGGGAACCCUGCUCCAGCCAUGCCGCGUGUGUGAAGAAGGCCUUUUGGUUGUAAAGCACUUUAGGCGAGGAGGAGGCUACUUAGAUUAAUACUCUAGGAUAGUGGACGUUACUCGCCGACUAAGCACCGGCUAAGUCUGUGCCCGCAGCCGCGGUAAUACCGAGGGUGCAAGCGUUAAUCGGAUUGACUGGGCGUAAAGCGCGCGUAGGUGGCCAAUUAAGUCAAAUGUGAAAUCCCCGAGCUUAACUUGGGAAUUGCAUUCGAUACUGGUUGGCUAGAGUAUGGGAGAGGAUGGUAGAAUUCCAGGUGUAGCGGUGAAAUGCGUAGAGAUCUGGAGGAAUACCGAUGGCGAAGGCAGCCAUCUGGCCUAAUACUGACACUGAGGUGCGAAAGCAUGGGGAGCAAACA
rnacentral:rRNA from 1 species